rnacentral:rRNA from 1 species
GACGAACCGUGCAAACGUUGUUCGGAAUCACUGGGCUUAAAGGGCGCGUAGGCGGGUUCUCAAGUCUGUGGUGAAAGCCCCCGGCUUAACCGGGGAAGUGCCGUGGAUACUGGGGACCUCGAGGAGGGUAGGGGCAUCUGGAACAGCCGGUGGAGCGGUGAAAUGCGCAGAUAUCAGGAGGAACACCGGUGGCGAAGGCGGCACUCUGGGCCGGUACUGACGCUGAGGAGCGAAAGCGUGGGGAGCGAACAGG